AUAUGAAUCAUAAACUUUAUUUAGAUCUAAUCUAAACAAUAUUAUGAUUUCAGAUUUAUUCAUGUUACUAAUCCUAACACAAACAUGCAUCAUAUGCAUCCAAAAUUUCAGAUCUACUUAAUCAUGCAUAAUCAGCAACUAAAUCAAUCAUAACAAGCACUUUAGAUCUAAUCUAAACAUGUUAAUGAUUUCAGAUUUAAUUGCAAGAAUUAAAACAUAAAAGUUUAAACAUAAAUCUGGCUCUGAUACCACUGAAAGUGAAUCCUAGGUUCUUCGGUGUUUAGCAUGCUGAAUUUUUUUUUUU
rnacentral:lncRNA from 1 species